rnacentral:lncRNA from 1 species
GGUAAACUUCGUAACAGGCGACAAAUCGGCACCGUCAAUUUCAGCAACAAAUUUGUUCCAAAAGGGUGGCCAAUUCGCACAUUUCCCAUCGAACUGCGUAAUAGAUAGCUUCGGUAAUUUUGUCGACGCCGCUUUCUUUACUUGGUUUUGCUGUCCCGUUGCUAACACCUUCUGAAACUUUAGCUGUUGUUCAUAAAGUUCACGUUCGUGACUCAUUAAGUUCGUGCUUUUCGUCCUCGAUUGCCCUCUCUUGUUUAACUGAUUCGGCCAAUUCAACGGCCUGGUUUUCCUUCGCUAUAUUUUCUUUUAUUCGUUUUAAUUCUAACAAUUUCUCGUCGGCCGUUUUCAAAGUUCCUUCAAUGUCGACAAGCCAUUCUUGCACUUGUUCUUCAGUUUGUUUCUGACCGAAUUUCAAUUCUAUAAUGUCAUCUUUUAAGGCGUGACUCGCUUCGAUUUUACCUUUGAUUGACGCUUCGUGUCUAGUUAUCACAUCGAGGUUUCUCGUUUCGAUUUCUUGUUCGCUUUUACCCAACGUAAAUUUUAAUGUUCGUAGUUUCCCAUCAAGCUCUUGUAGUUUUGUCUCCAUGCUUUUCUUUCACUUCGUUUGUUUAGUUAUAUAUAAUAAAUCACUCGAUAAAUAGCGGCAGUAUAUCACUGUAGUUUGUACGCUGUCGUUUAGUUUCGAUUUGUCACUCGAUAAAUAUGCUAGGUUCUUGCUCUUGUUCGAGCUUAAAAUCUCACAAAUCCCAUCACGGAGGUGCCAGUUGUUGAGAAUUGCCUCCCGUUGAUUCCCAACAUAAAUUAAAAUUACAAACACUGGGUAUUUCUAUAGUUUUAUUGACAAAAAUCUCAUGCUUCGCUGUGUUCUUUCCCGAAUCCCUCCCUAUGUAAACAUUCUCAACGGUAUAUUCCGGAGCUGUCCGACUGUCCGCGAGUAUACUCGCAUGUCCCACGCGAUAAUAAAAAAGCUAAAUAUAGUUUCCGACACAAUACUUUCAGUUUGGUUGUUGACUGAUGAUGAAUCUAUAGUAUAGACUUGCAUUGAGCUUAUUAAACCACCGUUUUAAGGCAGCUAAACGGGCUUGGUUUAUAUUAACACAUAAAAUAAAUUCCUUGAUUCUCAUCACUAGACACAGUCUAC